CCUACGGGAGGCAGCAGUGAGGAAUAUUGGUCAAUGGACGAGAGUCUGAACCAGCCAAGUAGCGUGAAGGAUGACUGCCCUAUGGGUUGUACACUUCUUUUAUAAGGGAAUAAAACGAGGCACGUGUGCCUUUUUUCAUGUACUUUAUGAAUAAGGAUCGGCCAACUCCGUGCCCGCAGCCGCGGUAAUACGGUGGAUCCGAGCGUUAUCCGGCUUUAUUGGGUUUAAAUGGAGCGUAGAUGGGUUGUUAAGUCAGUUGUGAAAGUUUGGGGCUCAACCGUCAAAUUGCCAUUGAUACUGGCAGUCUUGAGGAGAGUUGAGGUAGGCGGAAUUCGUGGUGUAGCGGUGAAAUGCUUAGAUAUCACGCAGAACCCCGAUUGCGAAGGCAGCUUACUAAACUGUGACUGACAUUGAUGCUCGAAAGUGUGGGUAUCAAACAGGAUUAGAUACCCGUGUAGUA
rnacentral:rRNA from 1 species